rnacentral:sRNA from 1 species
AGAAGGGGACUGACUCGACUAUGCGACCAGGAUUAGAACCCACAGGCCUAAAUUUCUGUGUUAUUUUAGCUCUGUAGUCCAUGACCCAAGAUUCUGGAAGGCCCAUGAGCUUCCUCCCUGGCCUCCCACGACUACAUCCUGAAGAUUGUGCCCACGGUUUAUGAGGACAAGAGUGGCAAGCAGCGGUACUCCUACCAGUACACGGUGGCCAACAAGGUGCGCGGGCGGUGGCUGGGCCGAGCUGUGUGCGGCGGCGCCCUCUGCUGACGGAGAGCAGAGACGACAGGCGGCUGCACAGACACACUUUCUUCUGGUUCCUUUCUGGAGGCCUUUCCUGGGGAUUAGCUUGGGCCAGGCGCUGUCUCUGGGUAAAAUUGAAAGGCCCAGUCCCUGCCAUGUGGCUGUCUCAGAGUCAAGGAGAACAGAUCUAACCAGGAGAUAGGGUGUGAUGCGUUUGAGAAAGAGCAGGUAGUCUCCAUCCUACAAAGGUCCUGGGGUUGCAGGUCUCAAACAGCCCUGCAUCUCGUCCGAGUCCUUUAGACCCAGACCCCUGGGUGCUCACCACAGACAGACACUCCUGCUCUCAGGACACAGGCACUUUACCCAAGCUCAUGAGGCUGCCGAGUCACACCAAGAUGGCUGUUGAUUAAUUUGCUGUUGAUUGACAGGGGUGUCCCCAGGACCCCAACACUCAAAGUCAUGGAGAAGACGCCAGGCCUUAGUGGGCAGCAGAGCAUGGUGAGAGUCUGCAGAGUGGGAUGAUCCGGCAAUUAGUGGUCUCAAGACAAGACAGGCUUGGGCUUCCCCGGGGGUAUCCCACCAAUGGGACAUGAAUACUUCAAACCUGGUGGUUGAAAUGCCCCUGCUAGACCCUGGUGGAUGGGUUUUUCCCACUUACCACCAGGACUGUCCUUUUUCUUCUGUUCCAAGGCUGCCCAAACCCCUUAUAAGUGAUACCUGUUUAGCUCAGUUAAUUAUAACAAUAGUAGGAGGCAUAGCUGUCACUCAUUGAGUACUUCCUGGGGGCUAGACGUGCUAAGCUCUCUUCUUCCGUCUUCUCAAUCAUCAUGACAGCUCUGAUGUUGAGACUGUUAUUGAGCCCAUUUUGUUGAUUUGGCCAUUGAGGCACUGAGAGGUGGUUGUAGAGCUAUAAAGUGGCUGAGUGGGGAUUAGAACAGGUUUUGCUUGGGCUCCAGAGCCUGGCUUCUUGAUCACCUCACGCCUCAGUCUGAGGAAGGGGCUGUGAGUCUGCCCACCUGCGAGCUGCUCUCUGUCCAAUGACCUAGUCCCUCUGUUCUGACUCGCCCUAAAUUGAUGUUCCCAGGAGCCCUGUUUCUUUUAUUCACUGUUUCACGGGGGGCAUCUCAUUGUAACCCUUACAUGCUCAUAGCAGCUAACAGAUGGAAAAUCACAGAUGCAAGCUCAGGACCACGCUGCAGUUCAAAUUCCAGCUCAGUCAUUCACUAGCUAUUGACCCGAGACAUGUCACAUAGCCACUGUGUGCCUCAGUUUACUCAUUCAUAAAAUGGAGAUGAUACUUUAUAAGAGUGCUGUCACAUGAGGCAAUGUUUUCAAAAAUGCCUAACCCACCAAAAAAAAAAAAAGCCUUUAGGUAAAUGAUACUGACUGCUGCUGUUUUUCACUGUUUUUCUUUGUCCCUCAACUCUGGCUUGUGACCCAGUCACCCUGCCCCAGCAGCUCUCCUGGAGAAAGCUGGUCUUCCCUUACUCAAAGCUCCUUUUCCCAAUGCUUUGGCAAGGCCCAGCAGCCAGAACAGCUUGCUCAGCUUCUCUAUGGCUGCAGCCGCACUCUGCCCGGGAGCAGGCUGCAGUGACCCAGUGGGAGGUCAGGGCUCAGUGUUACUUACCCCUGGAGGGGCCUCGGCUCCUCAGGCUCAGCAUGUGGGGUUGGGGGUACCCCAGUGGUUCAAUUUGGCCUCCAGUUGUUGCAGACUUUAGCACCUUGAAGUGCCCAAACUGGAGAGAUCCCAGGAGUCAUCAUCCCAGGCCCAUCUGUGUUUAGAUGGGGAAGCCAAGUCCCUGAGGGAGGGAGGGGCUGGCCCAAGGACGCACUGUUAGUUCAGCCUCUUAGUAUCCUUAGUCCCUGCUGUGUGCAUUCUCAGGGAGGUUGGUGGCAGGGCGGGGCCUUCUGGCUUUGCAGUUCAGUCUAUUUCUCUGAAGAAGCUAGCCCACUCCCCACACGGUGUUUACACCCGUCACACGCACACACACUGGGACUCCUGCUUAUUCAUCAUGUGUGGCUCAGAAUGUCCCCUCCCCAGUCUCCCAGAUGCCUCCCGGGAGAAUGGGUCAUUCAUUCAUUCCCCUCAACUCUCCAUGUCCCUCCAUCCCACAUGCGUGAUGUCGCAGUGUUAGGGAUAUUCUUAUGUCUUCCUCCUUCUGCAGACUGUGACUCCCUCUGGGGAAAGAGCAGGACGUUCAGCAAACCAUUGUUGAAUAAAUGAAUGGAUUUCGCAUGGCCCAGAGGUUGAAGGAGGCAAUAGCCAAAAAUUGCACUUUUCCUUUUACAGCUCUGAUUUCUAAUUUAUUUUCUGAUUCUGGUGCUGCUUGCAGCUCACAUGGUCAAUUUCUAAACAACCAAGGGGGUCAAAAAUGCCCAGCUGUGCACGGCAGAGUUUAGGGCCUCCAGGGGAAGGGAUGUGAGAGAGGGAGUGGGGGAGUCUGGCUUCAUGGGGCGGAGAGGGAGGAAAGUCCUUUCUGGAGGGUUGCUGGGGGGCCCUCUGCAAUCCAGUCCCCACCCACCCUGAGACACAGUUUGUACUUCUGAUUCUCGUAUCCUCUACCCCAGGAAUACGUCGCCUACAGCCACACGGGCCGCAUCAUCCCUGCAAUCUGGUUCCGCUACGACCUCAGCCCCAUCACAGUCAAGUACACAGAGAGACGGCAGCCGCUGUACAGAUUCAUCACCACGGUGAGUGGCCUGGGGCAGUGGGCCGGACCCUGAGCCAGCCACCCUGUGCCUGCUCUGGGCCUCUUUCCUUGGCACCCCUCACCUGCUCUCGCUGAAACAGGAUGCAGCCUGCAGGGCUAGGGGCUCUGGCUGGGCACAGGAGGCUUUGACCCUAAGGAUGCUGAGAAAUGUCAGAAACACAUCAGUAUCAAUGACGUUUUGUCUAGAAAGUAUUUUCCAGAGGGGAAUGCCCUGAAAUCCAUUUAAUUCCUGAAGCAAGUCUCCAUAUGUUUCCACUAGAUGUUUAGGAUUUUCUCCAGCUUUUUGUUGUUAUGGAAAUUAUUCUUAGCAGAGUUUAUCCUUUAAUGUAUAAAUUUUGCACCAAAGACUUAACUCAUUUUCUUUCCAGGUCUAAUUUCCAGUUAUAGCUGCUGAUAGGGUCCAAUUUUUCUCUUUCCUUCCUCCCUGUUCUCUCUUUUUUGCCAUGGUCUCUAGCACAUCCAGUUUUCUCUAGGGCAGCUUCAAGCUGAUGUUAGUUUUCCUUUAUGCUGAUUAUUUCUAUCACGUCUACUGUUUCCUGGCCUCCCAUUCAGAAGGUCCUGGGGUCAGAACAGGAGGGUCAGGGUGCCCUUCUUCACCCAAGAGGCCCAGGAGGUACUGAAGAAGCUAGAGUUAGCUGAGGUGGAAGAGACAGGGUGGCUAUCCCCACUUCACAGAUUUGGAAACUGAGACCUAAAGAUAAAUAUAGCAUUGGGAGGCCCUUAUGCUUCUGUAUUUCUUUAUACUUGUAACGAUGGUUCAAGAUCAAGGGUCUUGGCUCUUUCAUUUCCCACAAUAACUAGGUCAGUAUUAGUCAGGACUCUGUUACCGAAGAUCCAGAACCAGACUUUGAGCUGGCCUGAGGAGGAGAUGUUCUCAGGCAUGGCUGGAUCCAGCCUCGAAUGUUGCCAGGAGUAGAUCUCUAUCUUCGGAUCUGCUUUCCACUAUACUGGCUUCAUCUUCAAUAGAAUUUACCAGUAGAAAUGGCCUCUUUCUCAGUCAUUCUAACCAAGUCCUAGAUAGGACAGAGCUCUCACUGGCCCAGCUCAGGCCUCAUGCCAUCCUUGUGGCCUGGGAAAUCAAAUGUUCUCGUUGGCCAGGCUUAGGCCCUGUACCCUCUCUGAUGUCAACCCCAUCCAAACUGCAGGGACACAGAUUGUGAGGAAUGAAGUUCCUCAAGAGAAAAGGCAGGGACCAGCUACUGGAAGAGGAAAGAGUGGGUGCCAGGAGGCAGAACAGUGGGAUGUUGUGACAGGGUCUCUGCCUUCUCAUCUGUGACGUAAGAACGAUCAUCUCUGUUCCUGCCACCUCCCAGGGCCUUGUGGGACUCAGAGGAAAUCGUGAAAGGAGAAGCUGUUUGCAGAUAUGAAAAGCCAAGUAGGACGGGGCACAGUGGCUCACACUUGUAGUCCCAGCACUCUGGGAGGCUGAGGCAGGAGGAUCGCUUGAGGCCAGGAGUUUGAAACCAGCCUGGGCAACAUUGUGAAAGCCUGUCUCUAAGAAUCUUCUUAAAUUAGCUGGGUAUGGUGGUGCACGCACCUGUAGUCCCAGCUACUUAGGAGGCUGAGGUGAGAGGAUCACUUGAGCCCAGGAUUUUAAGUUUAGAGUAAGUUAUGAUCAUGCACUCCAGCCUGGGCAACAGAGCGAGACCCUUUCUCUAAAAAACAGAACCCCCCGGAAAACAGACAGAGAGAUACAAAGGGUGUCAUAAGUCUGGUGCUUACAUGAGCCUCAGAACAGUUUUUUGCUGUUCUCUUUGACCACAUCAAAGUUAGAAACUUCUGUUCAACAAAUGGCACAUAACAUAACGCAAAAAUGUCACACGCAGCCUGGGAAAAGAUACUUGCCAUCCAUAUGGGAAAGGGGUAGCCUUCAGAAUUCAUAUGUAAAGAACUCCUACAGAUCAGUAAGAAAAAAUUAACAACCAAAAAAAAUAGACAAGGCCAAGGACCAGCUCUUCACAGAGGAGAUGAUACUGGCAGUGACAAGAUGCCCAAGUUCACUAGAAAUUGGAGGGAUGAGAUUUAAAACAAGACUCAAUUCAGGCCAGAUGUGGUAGCUCACACCUGUAAUCCCAGCAUUCUGGGAGGUGGAAGCAGGAGGAUCACUUGAGGCCAGGAGUUUGAAACCAGCCUGGUCACCGCAGCAAGACCCCCUCCCUACAAAAGAAAAGUUAAAAAAUUAGCUAGACAUAGUGGUGCAUGCCUGUAAUUUCAGCUACUUGGGAGGCUGAGGUGGGAGAAUUACUUGAACCUGGGAGGCAGAAGUUGCAGUGAGCCAGGAUCACUCCAGUGCACUCUGGCCUGGGCAACAGAGUGAGACUCUGUCUCAAAAAAUAA